rnacentral:ncRNA from 1 species
GUGUUUGGCCUUCGAUGGCCUCGAGCCGGAGCGAGAAGUCAGCCGAGGCCAUAGUAGGGGGCGGUACGCGCCACCCCUGAAGGGC